UACGAAGGGGGCUAGCGUUGCUCGGAAUCACUGGGCGUAAAGGGCGCGUAGGCGGCAACUCAAGUCAGCUGUGAAAUCUCCGGGCUUAACUCGGAACGGUCAGCUGAUACUGUUUUGCUAGAGUGCAGAAGGGGCAAUCGGAAUUCUUGGUGUAGCGGUGAAAUGCGUAGAUAUCAAGAGGAACACCUGAGGUGAAGACGGGUUGCUGGGCUGACACUGACGCUGAGGCGCGAAAGCCAGGGGAGCAAACGGG
rnacentral:rRNA from 1 species